rnacentral:rRNA from 1 species
GAUGAACGCUGGCGGCGUGCCUAAUACAUGCAAGUCGAGCGAACAGACGCGGAUCUUGCUCCUCUGACGUUAGCGGCGGACGGGUGAGUAACACGUGGAUAACCUACCUAUAAGACUGGGAUAACUUCGGGACACCGUAGCUAAUACCGUAUAAUAUAUUGAACCGCAUGGUUCAAUAGUGAAAGACGGUUUUGCUGUCACUUAUAGAUGGAUCCGCGCCGCAUUAGCUAGUUGGGAAGGUAACGGCUUACCAAGGCAACGAUGCGUAGCCGGCCUGAGAGGGUGAUCGGCCACACUGGAACUGAGACACGGUCCAGACUCCUACGGGAGGCAGCAGUAGGGAAUCUUCCGCAAUGGGCGAAAGCCUGACGGAGCAACGCCGCGUGAGUGAUGAAGGUCUUCGGAUCGUAAACCUCUGUUAGUAGGGAAGAACAAAUGUGUAAGUAAAUAUGCACGUAUUGACGGUACCUAAUCAGAAAGCCCCGGCUAACUACGUG